AUGGAUCGCAGGUUAAAAACCCUGAUCAAGGCCUAUUCAUGGACCCUCUCUGUCCCUCUGUCUCUCCCUUCCCCUCCCCCCCCAGUCUCUGUCUCUCCUUCCCCCCCCACUUCCCUUUCCUUCUCCCUGUCCUUCUCAAUCCCUCUCUGCCUCCCUUUCCCUCCCCCUGUCCUUCUCCAUCCCUCUCUGUCUCUCCCUUCCCCCAUCCCUCUGUCUCUCCCUUCCCCCAUCCCUCUGUCUCUCCCUUCCCCCAUCUCUCUGUCCCUCUCUGCCUCCCUUUCCCUCCCCCCUGUCCUCCAUCCCUCUCUGUCUCUCCCUUCCCCCAUCCUUCUGUCUCUCCCUUCCCCCCAUCUCUCUGUCCCUCUCUCUCCUUUUCCCUCCCCCUGUCCUCCAUCCCUCUGUCUCUCUGUCUCUCCCUUUCCCCCUCCUCUCCACCACCCUUUCCCUCCCUCUGUCCCUCUCCAUCCCUGUCUCUCUCCCUUCCCCCUCCCCCGUCUCUCUGUCCCUCUCUGCUUCCCUUUCCCUCCCCCUGUCCUUCUCCAUCCCUCUCUGUCUCUCUGUCCCUCUGUCCCUCUCUGCCUCCCUUUCCCUCCCCCCUGUCCUUCUCCAUCCCUCUCUGUCUCUCUCUGUCCCUCUGUCUCUCCCUUCUCCCCCCACCCCAUCCCUCUGUCUCUCUCCCUUCCCUUCCCCUCCCGUCUCUGUCCCUCUCUGCCUCCCUUUCCCUCCCCCCUGUCCUUCUCCAUCCCUCUCUGUCUCUCCCUUCUCCCCCCCCCCCCCCCCCCCGUCUCUCUGUCCCUCUCUCUCUCCCUUUCCCUCCCCCCUGUCCUCCAUCCCCGCCCCUCUUUCUGUGUCUAUCUUAAGGUGGUCCAUCUGGGAUCCUUCUCUCUGUUGCUGGCCCACUUCCUUUUCCAUUCAGACAUUUCCUGGACUAGAUCCCUUACACUAUUUCUUUCACGUAGCAAGGGAAACAUGUGCUGCUCACUCUUUGUCUCCCGCUCUCUGCGUCACCUGCAACUCCAUUCAUGUGGAGUGUGGUGGGAACCGUCCUCGCUGCCUUUCUGUGGCUGCCCUACCGCAUGGGUCAGCAAACAUUUAUGA
rnacentral:lncRNA from 1 species